AUUGAACGCUGGCGGCAGGCCUAACACAUGCAAGUCGAACGAGUGGCGGACGGGUGAGUAAUGUCGGGGAAACUGCCUGAUGGAGGGGGAUAACUACUGGAAACGGUAGCUAAUACCGCAUACCAUCGGAUGUGCCCAGAUGGGAGUAGCUAGUAGGUGGGGUAAAGGCUCACCUAGGCGACGAUCCCUAGCUGGUCUGAGAGGAUGACCAGCCACACUGGAACUGAGACACGGUCCAGACUCCUACGGGAGGCAGCAGUGGGGAAUAUUGCAAAAUGGGCGAAAGCCUGAUGCAGCAAUGCCGCGUGUAUGAAGAAGGCCUUCGGGUUGUAAAGUACUUUCAGCGGGGAGGCGUUACCUAAAGAAGAAGCAACGGCUAACUCCGUGCCAGCAGCCGCGGUAAUAC
rnacentral:rRNA from 1 species